rnacentral:rRNA from 1 species
GGGUCGUUGAAGACUACAACGUUGAUAGGUCGGGUGUGGAAGCGCAGUAAUGUGUUAAGCUAACCGAUACUAAUUGCCCGUGCGGCUUGACUCUAUUAUUUUAGUAGUUAUA